rnacentral:rRNA from 1 species
GACAGAGGGGGCAAGCGUUGCUCGGAAUUAUUGGGCGUAAAGAGCUCGUAGGCGGCCUGUCGCGUCUGCUGUGAAAUCCCGGGGCUUAACCCCGGGCGUGCAGUGGAUACGGGCUGGCUGGAGGCAGGCAGGGGAGAACGGAAUUCCCGGUGUAGCGGUGAAAUGCGCAGAUAUCGGGAGGAACACCGGUGGCGAAGGCGGUUCUCUGGGCCUGUACUGACGCUGAGGAGCGAAAGCGUGGGGAGCGAACAGG